rnacentral:misc_RNA from 1 species
AUAGGUGAACCUGUGGAAGGAUCAUUCACAAUAAGUGUUUGUGGCACUUUUAAAAAUUCCAUACCCACCUUGUGUGCAACGUUUGAAUCUGCUCCAUGCAUCUCCCUCUUUCGAGUGGGCCAUGGGGAGUAAGAUAUCUUUAAUCCAUUAAUCUGUUUUAAACCAGUUUUGUCUAAAGCAAUGUAUCAUUGAAUUGACCUAAUUCGAAAAUACAACUUUCAACAACAGAUCUCUUGGCUCUC